CCUCCUUUUAUUAGCUUCAAAAAAUACUAAUAAAACCCAUAAUUUUCAAGUCCAAAUUCAACUCAUAUUUCCAAGAAUUUGAAGGGUUUGCAGAAUCCACAGGAAAGAGCAUAAAGUUUGAAUCUUUACAAAGAUCUAAGGUGAUUUUUAGUGGAAACACACCAAGUUUUAGUGAAGAAAGAAAUUGAGAUUUUUCACCUGAGGUCAUAAUAUUAGAUGAUGGUGCUUGAGUAUUUGGUAUACUUCAAUCCUAACUUCCACAUUGAUGGUGCUUGAGUAUUUGGUAUACUUCAAUCCUAACUUCCACAUAUGUUUGGAUUGCAAACCACGAAAACCCAUCAAGAAUUUGGCAACAGCUCAGCGAACGGAUUUCAGAAGGAAUAGAAUUCCUAAAUCCACAAGGGGGGAACAUAUUUUUGGAUUGCAAACCACGAAAACCCAUCAAGAAUUUGGCAACAGCUCAGCGAACGGAUUUCAGAAGGAAUAGAAUUCCUAAAUCCACAAGGGGGGAACAUAUUUGUUGCUUUUGAAGUUUUAAUGGGCUAGGGUUUAAUUGCACCCAUCAACAAGCAUACAGAAAGUCUUAAUUUUCAACUUUGGUUGGGGAGGUGAUGGAGGGAGAAGUGGUGGCGCCGAUGGCGGUGGUAAUGAUUGCUGUAGCGGUGGUGGUCAGUUUUGGUUGGGGUGGGGUCAUUUGGGGCUGGGUUUGAGGAGACGAUUUUAUUUUUUUCUUCAUUUUCUGUGUUUAAUUAUUUGUGUUAUUGAAAUUGUAAAUAUACCAUUUUACCCCUUCUUUGAUUUGUCUAUUUGAGUCAAAAUUACAAUUUUAUUGUUGACUAACGGCAUUAGAGACGUAAUCAUUGAUUUGGGCCACAGCUGCAGUUAAAUAUAAAGGUUUGGGAUUACAGUCGCAAAAAUAAAAUAUUAAGGUAUAAUUUGCAGUAAAAUGAAAGAUUUGGGGGACCUUUGCUGCAAUUUUCUCUAAACAAGUAUUGAUUUCAAUCAAGUUGCAUUAUGAUUUCGAUCAAGUUGCAUUAACCUUGACAUUCUUAUGAGGUGGCAUUUUUUACACAUUGAUCUUCACAACACUUUAAACAAUUAAUAAUACAGAAUGAUUUAUUAUUAUUUUUUUUUUGUUUUUUUUGGGUGAAAAAUGAGGUUCAAAUAGGGGCUCAAAUAAAAAUCAAAAUUUUAAUAGAUUUUGAUAAAAUAUUAUGCCCACGUUUGGCAACCAUUAUUUGAAAACUAUUCAAAUUUUUUACAUACUCAUUUUCAAUUACACAUUUAUACAAUAAAAUAUUUUGUGUGUUAGGAAAGAGCAUAAAGUUAGAAUCUUUACAAAGAUCUAAGGUGAUUUUUAGUGGAAACACACCAAGUUUUAGUGAAGAAAGAAAUUGAGAUUUUUCACCUGAGGUCAUAAUAUUAGAUGAUGGUGCUUGAGUAUUUGGUAUACUUCAAUCCUAACUUCCACAUAUGUUUGAAUUGCAAACCACGAAAACCCAUCAAGAAUUUGGCAACAGCUCAGUGAACGGAUUUCAGAAGGACUAGAAUUCCUAAAUCACAAGGGGGGAACAUAUUGGUUGCUUUUGAAGUUUUAAUGGGCUAGGGUUUAAUUGCACCCAUCAACAAGCAUACAGAAAGUCUUAAUUUUCAACUUUGGUUGGGGAGGUGAUGGAGGGAGAGGUGGUGGCGCCGAUGGCGGUGGUAAUGAUUGCUGUAGCGGUGGUGGUCAGUUUUGG
rnacentral:lncRNA from 1 species